rnacentral:SRP_RNA from 1 species
GCCUAUAGUCUUAGCUAUUCGGGAGGCUGAGGCAGGAGGGUCACUGAGUCCAGGACUUCAAGGCUGUAGUGAGCUAUGCCAAUCAGGUGUCCACAGUAAGUUGCACAUCAGUAUGGUGACCUCCCAGGAGCAGGGGACCACCAGGUUUCCUAAGGAGGGGUAAACCAGCCCAUAUCGGAAAUGGAGCAGGUCAAAACUCCUAUGCUGGUCAGUAGUGGAACUGUACCAGUGAAUAUCCACUGAGCUCCAGCCUGGGAAACAUGGCGAGACCCCGUCUCU